UACGGAGGGGGCUAGCGUUGUUCGGAAUUACUGGGCGUAAAGCGCACGUAGGCGGCGAUUUAAGUCAGAGGUGAAAGCCCAGGGCUCAACCCUGGAAUAGCCUUCGAUACUGGAUAUCUUGAGUACGGGAGAGGUGAGUGGAACUCCGAGUGUAGAGGUGAAAUUCGUAGAUAUUCGGAAGAACACCAGUGGCGAAGGCGACUCACUGGCCCGUUACUGACGCUGAGGCGCGAAAGCGUGGGGAGCAAACAGG
rnacentral:rRNA from 1 species